rnacentral:tRNA from 1 species
CACCGAAUAGCUCAGUUGGGAGAGGCGUUAGACUUUGAAUCGAAAGGUCCUUGCUUCGAACCGGGUUUCAUCA